rnacentral:lncRNA from 1 species
UUCAAGCUUUGCCCAGGAUUCCAGCUUCGGAAGCAGCCCAGAAAAGGGUUAAAAAACCCCGGAGCGAUGGAUGGAGGAUGGAGGGAGAGAUGCCAUUCCGUUCCCAUGCCAUGCGCGGAUGAUGCUGAUGCUCGGUCGCUCCUCCCACCCUUGGCUGGAUGAGCUCAGCUAGGGAGGUGGUUUGGUGUGUGUUUGUGUGUGUGUGUGUGUGUGUGGUUCCCCCCCCCCUUUCUGCCUCCCAUCCCUGCAGUAGCAGCAACACUGGGCUUUUAACAAGCUCUGCAGCAGACGCCAGGAGCGAGCCGAGAGAGACGCACAGAGGCAGAGGCUGGCAGGAGAUCGAGACGCAGUCUGUCUAGAUGUGUUCCCAACCCAAGCAAUCUGCUGGAUCCUCCAUGUUUCAAGGCAAGCUACCUCCGGUCUAGCAGACGCUUGAAACCUCUUAGGUUUGGUGUACAUUUUGUUCCAGUUUCAGGAUGUUUGACUGACCGCUGUCAGGAACAGGAGAUAAUUGGUUAGAGAAUUAGAACUAUUCUGCUAGAUAUCCAGACUCAGUGCUUUUAGAACAGUUACUUCUUUUGGACUACAACUCCCAAUAUCCGUAGACAGCAACAAGAACAAUCCACCUCCACCUGGAGUUUUGAAUUUUUUAAAUGAUUUUCCUCUAGCUACGGAAAAGUGCAGGGAUUUACAGAUCGGAAAUAGCUUCACGUUUGACAGAGAGUUGUCCGCCCCUUUCUCUCAUCAACUGGCGUUUACAGUCUCAGUAACUCACUCUGUGACAGUCGGAGAGGGAGAAUAGACACCCUUUUCUUUACUUACAAUUGGACGGAUCAAACAGCAAAUCAACCAACGCGACUGCUUUCAACAACUGGCCUCAACAGACUACCAAUUGCCAGCAGACAACAAAAAUAUUGGGGGGAGGGAGAGAGAAGCAUUGAGCAGAGAGGGAGGAGUUCUCUUUGAGACAGAAGGGAAUGAUUGGUUAGCACCAGAUUGACAGACAGUCAUCCCAGCCGAGAAAGGUCCCGCCCUGCUCAAGGCAGCUUGCGAGGUUGCAAAAACUCCCAACAGUUUUUGAUUAUGCAGAAGGGGAACCAUACCUGUACUGAGCAGCCAGGAAACAAAUUGUGAUCCAUGCUUGGUGUUGCGCUAGGAUCCUGCCCAUGUUUUCACUUCGAUCUCUUUUAGCAGGAGGACUAGAAACUUACUUUUCACGGCGAUUAGCAUGCGUUGUUCUAGGGUUGUCCAGCUCCGGCAGCGAGGUGGUCCGAUCCACUUCUGAUGAGUCUCUUAACUGAACUUUCCAAGAGUGACCCGGAGCGGAAAUGGCUAUCGAUCCGUGUAUGAUGUCCAAAG